UUCAUGUCUAAUGAAAAUCUGACCUAACCUGUUUCAUGUGCUCUCUGGUCUUACAUAAUCAGGGCAUAUGCGUAAGAUACUCUACACAUCCGAACACUUAACGGCUGCUGAUUGAUUCCAGAAAGCUUUUGCUUCUAAACGAGGAAAGGAGUUUGCUGAAGGAAUGCAUAUAAGUGAACAGAUCAUGACCACAUAGGAAAAUGGCUGGGAAUGCCAUAUUCGCAAAUCUGAGCCACAUAAAUCAAGAUAAAGAUAUAAGAGUAACAACUAAAUAAUGCUUUGUGAUGAGAAACAAUAGAUGGAAACUAGCCAAGGAGAGAAGCAACUUAGAAAUAAGUUGAAAUUUCCUAAAGGAAAUCCUCUUCGCCUUCCUUCAGACUGAUGCUGUUUACUAUGCAUUUGCCUUGCGAACACUUCAACCCAGCUUCUAUUACAGAAAAGUUUGAGGAAUCAAUGCAAAGGGGCACCUGAGGAUAAAAAAAGGACAAC